rnacentral:misc_RNA from 1 species
CAACCCUCAAGCUCUGCUUGGUAUUGGGUGUCACCCUCUUGUGGUGCACCUCAAAAUCAGUGGCGGUGCCACCUGGCUCCUAGCGUAGUAAAACUUUCUCGCUAUUGAGUUUGGGUGGUUGCUUGCCAGCAACCCUUAUUUUUUAUA